rnacentral:rRNA from 1 species
UACGGGGGGGGGCAAGCGUUGUUCGGAAUUACUGGGCGUAAAGGGCGCGUAGGCGGCCUGCUAAGUCACACGUGAAAUCCCUCGGCUCAACCGGGGGAACUGCGUGUGAUACUGGCGGGCUUGAAUUCGGGAGAGGGAUGUGGAAUUCCAGGUGUAGCGGUGAAAUGCGUAGAUAUCUGGAGGAACACCGGUGGCGAAGGCGGCAUCCUGGACCGAGAUUGACGCUGAGGCGCGAAAGCUAGGGGAGCAAACGGG